CGCAGCGAAAACAGUGCGCGUUGCAUAUCGGGCAGCGUUUAAACCUGUAUACUUCGAUUCAGUUUUACUACCCCCGUAAAUAUUUACGAUUAACAUAUUGAAACAGUUUGAUUGGAAUGUGAAGCAAACCGUGAAUGGGCCAAGAUUUGUGGACUUAUGAACAACGAGGCAAUCACACGGUCGAGUGGAGUCGCCAAUGAAGCGGAGGAGGCCCAGGAAAGGCGUCAGGAUAUCCUCGGCGACACGCGUGGGAACUUCCAUGUGAUUCAGAAAGUCCACUACUUUAUUGCAGGAGAUUUACCAACAGUUUAUUUCAACUUUAUGUGACAGGGGAUGUGACGAUUGAUGAUCAAAUGGAUAAGAUGAAAGUGUAUAAUGUUUGAGUUGGUUACAAUGAAGAACAGAACAAGGCAAUUACAUAAUUGCUGCUUCAGUCUGUAUGGUCAUAAACUCUUUUAUCCGACAAUAAUUGAACGACAAACAUCGUUGACAGUUGCGCCAUAUUAGUCAAACUAAUACAGACUAACAAUAAUAACAAUGCAGAUUGCGCCUGCGCAGAUGUGGCCCUCGACAGCUGGCCGGGCCAUGUAUUGUGUUCUAGUGGCCCUAAACUACUGACAUCGCCGCACCUUUGACUUCCUACUUCAUUACUUUGUGUUUAGAAAUAAACAAUUAAAAUAAUCUUUAUAUGUA